UGCCGGGACUAGGGGAGGAAGGCCAGAGGGUGGCCCCUGGUCCCCCAAUGCAGGAGAGCCCCUCCUAACGCUGUUUUUCCCCCUUUGCCUGCCCUCUGUGAAAGCGGAGCAGCAGCGACAGAGGCGACGGGGGGGAGGGACUGUACAAAGCCGCGGGAAGCUGCAAAGCAGAGUGAGACGGCAGCAAAAGCGGCAAUAGACGGAACCUGCGUAACCGCUGCGGCGAGAGCUCAGUACCAAGCGCAUGGCUGCGACCACAUGGCCACGCUGCAGGACAAUGGCGAGCGGAUGAGGACACCUGCUACAGAUAUGCCAACUAUCAGCACUCGCCGUCUGAAGACAGUGUGGACCAAGGCCCAAACUGGAAGUGAUAAGGAAGAGCCAAAACCACAGCCAAGAAACACGCAUGCUCUAAAAAGGCAGACCCAAGGAUGGGCCAUGUAAAAUAGUUCCUGGAAAAUGUAAACUAGUUUUUGCAUAUGCAUAAGGGUCUAUGAAUAUGCAACAGGAUUGUGUAAUGGAAAAGGUAUUUAAGGGGUAUCCCCUAAGGUGACGGCAUGGUCUUGGCUCAGUGCCAAGAUGCACCCGGCCAUAAUAACCUUUGCUCUAUAGUCCUUGUCUCCUAUUGUCCUUUAUUAAACUUUUAAAAUUUUCA